GACGAACGCUGGCGGCGUGCUUAACACAUGCAAGUCGAACGGAAAGGCCCUGCUUUUGGGGGGUGCUCGAGUGGCGAACGGGUGAGUAACACGUGAGUAACCUGCCCUUGACUUUGGGAUAACUUCAGGAAACUGGGGCUAAUACCGGCUAGGAGCUCCUGCCGCAUGGUGGGGGUUGGAAAGUUUCGGCGGUUGGUGAUGGACUCGCGGCUUAUCAGCUUGUUGGUGGGGUAGUGGCUUACCAAGGCUUUGACGGGUAGCCGGCCUGGGAGGGUGACCGGCCACAUUGGGACUGAGAUACGGCCCAGACUCCUACGGGAGGCAGCAGUGGGGAAUAGUACACAAUGGGCGGAAGCCUGAUGCAGCAACGCCGCGUGCGGUAUGACGGCCUUCGGGUUGUAAACCGAUUUCGCCUGUGACGAAGCGUGAGUGACGGUAAUGGGUAAAGAAGCACCGGCUAACUACGUG
rnacentral:rRNA from 1 species